AUUGAACGCUGGCGGUAGGCCCAACACAUGCAAGUCGAGCGGUAACACAGGGAGCUUGCUCCCGGGUGACGAGCGGCGGACGGGUGAGUAAUGUCUGGGAAACUGCCUGAUGGAGGGGGAUAACUACUGUAAACGGUAGCUAAUACCGCAUAACGUCGCAAGACCAAAGAGGGGGACCUUGGGGCCGUCUGCCAUCAGAUUUGCCCAGAAGGGAUUAGCUAGUAGGUGGGGUAACGGCUCACCUAGGUGACGAUCCCCAGCUGGUCUGAGAGGAUGACCAGCCACACUGGAACUGAGACACGGUCCAGACUCCUACGGGAGGCAGCAGUGGGGAAUAUUGCACAAUGGGCGCAAGCCUGAUGCAGCCAUGCCGCGUGUAUGAAGAAGGCCUUCGGGUUGUAAAGUACUUUCAGCGGGGAGGAAGGCGAUAAGGUUAAUAACCUUGUCGAUUGACGUUACCCGCAGAAGUAGCACCGGCUAACUCCGUGCCAGCCGCCGCCGUAACAC
rnacentral:rRNA from 1 species